CCUACGGGUGGCAGCAGUGAGGAAUCUUGGUCAAUGGCCGGAAGGCUGAACCAGCCAAGCCGCGUGAAGGACGAAGGUGCCAAGCAUUGUAAACUUCUUUUGUCAAGGGACAAAAUCAGGCUCGAGCGCCUGACCGAGGGUACUUGAAGAACAAGCAUCGGCUAACUCCGUGCCAGCAGCCGCGGUAAUACGGAGGAUGCGAGCGUUAUCCGGAUUUAUGGGGUUAAAAGGUUGCGUAGGCGGACUGUUAAGUCAGUGGUAAAAGCCCGGGGCUCAACCCCGGCGAGCCGUUGAAACUGGCUGUCUUGAGAUGUCGAGAGGUAGGCGGAAUGCGCAGUGUAGCGGUGAAAAGCGUAGAGAUUGCGAAGAACUCCGAUGGCGAAGGCAGCAUACCGGCGGCGAUCUGACGCUGAGGCACGAAAGCGUGGGUAUCGAACAGGAUUAGAUACCCUUGUAGUC
rnacentral:rRNA from 1 species